UUUGUUCAGUCUCUCUUUGGCGUCUUCCUAAGUAGGAGGUACUGAGCUCCAAUUCGUUAGGAAGUCUACGAAGUAUUUAUAUACCUCAAAGGAAACACACGAAGAUCCCAUAAUGACUCUCCUUAAGUUUACGAAGGCGAACACUGGGUGCUUAAGGACCUCGUGGAAAACCAAGAUUGAAGAUGGAUGAAUUAAAUCACAAUGACUAAGAUGGAAGCUGCUGUCACCUUGGAGCACUGGGACUAUAAUUCCCCAUGUCACCACAGUACUGGGUAGUCCUUCUACCUGAGUGAGGAGUUAAGUCUGCAGCCAUGACCUGACUGGUGUUACAGGAUCUGGAUACUGCGCUAUGGCUUGUCUGAAAGGAGUCUGCCUGACGGUUCCACACCUGUGAUCACGAACUUCUCCACACGUGAUGAACCAUUAAAGAUGAAAGUCAUUAUCAGGGUAUGACCGUGGCUGCCAAAGUUGGACGCAAUGAACUGGUGUGCUGGGACUGUUACAAGCUUCAGAGAUGGUCUAUAUGAAGCCAUCAGAAAGUGACCGCCUGGAUUCAGUCAUAUAAUCUGCCUUUUGAAAUCUGGUUUCAUUUUCGUACAAAGCGAUUCCCCUUCAACUGUUAACCUUCACAUGCAGAUGUAUUUUCCAAUAAAUGUUUGACAAAAUUA